rnacentral:rRNA from 1 species
GACGAACGCUGGCGGCGUGCCUAAUACGUGCAAGUCGAGCGAAUGGAUUAAGAGCUUGCUCUUAUGAAGUUAGCGGCGGACGGGUGAGUAACACGUGGGUAACCUGCCCAUAAGACUGGGAUAACUCCGGGAAACCGGGGCUAAUACCGGAUAACAUUUUGAACCGCAUGGUUCGAAAUUGAAAGGCGGCUUCGGCUGUCACUUAUGGAUGGACCCGCGUCGCAUUAGCUAGUUGGUGAGGUAACGGCUCACCAAGGCAACGAUGCGUAGCCGACCUGAGAGGGUGAUGGGCCACACGGGGACUGAGACACGGCCCAGACUCCUACGGGAGGCAGGAGUAGGGAAUCUUCCGCAAUGGACGAAAGUCUGACGGAGCAACGCCGCGUGAGUGAUGAAGGCUUUCGGGUCGUAAAACUCUGUUGUUAGGGAAGAACAAGUGCUAGUUGAAUAAGCUGGCACCUUGACGGUACCUAACCAGAAAGCCACGGCUAACUACGUGCCAGCAGCCGCCGCCG